UACGGAGGGUGCAAGCGUUGUUCGGAAUUAUUGGGCGUAAAGCGCGUGUAGGCGGUCUGUUAAGUCUGAUGUGAAAGCCCCGGGCUCAACCCGGGAAGUGCAUUGGAAACUGGCAGACUUGAGUACGGGAGAGGGUAGUGGAAUUCCGAGUGUAGGGGUGAAAUCCGUAGAUAUUCGGAGGAACACCGGUGGCGAAGGCGGCUACCUGGACCGAUACUGACGCUGAGACGCGAAAGCGUGGGGAGCAAAC
rnacentral:rRNA from 1 species